AGUGUCAUUUGCUUUCCAUCUUCUAUCCGCGUAGCUCUGACUGUACGGCUCCUCAUCCUUAGGUUGCUAUCGGGAGAGUAUCGUGUUUCCUUCAAUUCUGGAAAGAUCGGACUUGAUCUGUUACGGAUCCAUGGCAAGAAUAUGCUGUUAUCGAAUCCAAAUGAUCCAUCUUCUUCUCUAACUCCAUCGGGUCUGAUUAGGACUCGUGCUCUUCCGAUGAACAACGGUCUAGACGAGUCUUGAGCCAGAGAGCCCGUUGAGAGAUUUCUUCGUCCAAGUCAGCAAGCAUCUCGGCUCUGGAGCAGCUCAAGACCUAUGCUAUUGACCUAUACACGAAAGAAGCAACAUUGGGUGAUUGGCCUUAACAUUCACACAACUCCUGUUGAGAUGUAUGAGAAGCUUUCUUUUCCCGAAGCUGAAUGGCCACGAGCUAUCACCGAGUUAUACAGUUUGAAUCAUCUUUCUUGAAGAAGCUGUUGUUCUCAAUACUUGUAACGGUAUGGAGAUUUAUGUUCUGCCUCUAUCUCAGCACCGUGGAGUCAAAGAAGUCACUAAAUGGAUGUCUAAGACAAGUGGAAUCCCAGUUUCAGAGAUUUGCCAGCACCGUUUCCUGCAGACAAGUGGAUUUCCGCUGUGGUCUUUUGUUCUUUAGUGAGAUAUUGUCUUUGGCAAAUACCAACAGAAAACUACCAGAUAUACUUGGUGAGCUAACUGCUAUCAGGAGCACAAUCAACGAUCGGACACACAGCUCACAGCAUGUUAUUCUUACUUUACAUAUAGAUAGGGAUGUGUAUGAAUGUGUAAGCCUUUUUGAUGGAUUAGCUUAUGUAUUUCAUGACAAAUUGAAAAGCUAUGGGUCAGAACCAAAAGUUGUGUUGGUCACUGGCAAUCGUCUGUAUUUUUCUAAUACAAUGGUGGAUUUGAGUUCUAGAAAUUUGAAGAAUGGUGUAUAGAUUUUACUCUUUUUUAAUAGUUUUCUUAUUACUGUUUUGCAUAUUGCUGCUUUGUAGGGUGAUUCUGGUAUUGUGGAAGCUACAGCCCCCGACUUUAAAUUGCAGAUCUUGAGAAAGUCUGGAACUUUUUUGGGGGUAAAUAUCUCUUAGAAACCCAACAUAUAGAAGCUAUGUCAGUUCAGAGAAACAGGGAAGAAGCAAGAGAGGAGAGAUGCACAUGAAUAGCCAAGAAGAUGCAAGAAGUUAACAAAGAGCAGAUGAGGCAAAGUCACUAGCUUUAGCUGCUCGAGAGAAGCUCAGAAAGGCGAAGGAAGAGUCAGGUGAAGCGAAGACAGAAGUCUCUGUCAAUUGAGGCGGAAAGGGAAAUGAGUGUCGUGAUGGAAUUCAUGGACCAUAGUUACCUACAAUGUGGUCAUUGAAACAAAUGGAAUAUUUAUUUAGGCUAAUGCAAUCAGAGAGAAUAAAAUAAAAAUGUGUUUACUACUAUCAUUUUAUAAGGAUUUAUGACAUAUAAGUGACUUUGAAAGGUACUUUUCAAAACUU